GACGAACGCUGGCGGCGUGCUUAACACAUGCAAGUCGAACGGUGAAGCGCCUUCCUUUUUGGUGGGUGUGGAUGAGUGGCGAACGGGUGAGUAACACGUGAGUAACCUGCCCCCUUCUUCUGGAUAACCGCAUGAAAGUGUGGCUAAUACGGGAUAUUCUGGGUCUGUCGCAUGAUGGGUCUGGGAAAGAUAUUGUUUCGGUGGGGGAUGGGCUCGCGGCCUAUCAGCUUGGUGGUGUGGUGACGGCCUACCAAGGCGGUGACGGGUAGCCGGCCUGGGAGGGUGGGCCGCCAUACAGCGGCUGCGCCGCCCCCCAGCCUACGACGGGAGGCAGCAGGGAGUAUUAUGCCACGGUCGGCGCCCUCCUGGUGCAGCGCCGCCUCGUUGGUGAUGGUCUUCUUCUCGUUGUGCUCCGCUUUCGCCAAUGAAGCUGUCUUUCCUCGUUUGUGGGUGGCUUGACGGUAGCUAGUUAGGAAGCGCCGGCUAACUACGUG
rnacentral:rRNA from 1 species